UCGAGAAUUUUUCACAAUGGGCGCAAGCCUGAUGGAGCGACGCCGCGUGGGGGAUGAAUGGCUUCGGCCCGUAAACCCCUGUCAUUUGCGAUCAAACCUCGUUAUUUAAAAGAUGACGAGCUGAUGGUAGCGAAAGAGGAAGGGACGGCUAACUCUGUGCCAGCAGCCGCGGUAAUACAGAGGUCCCAAGCGUUGUUCGGAUUCACUGGGCGUAAAGGGUGCGUAGGUGGUGGGGUAAGUCGGAUGUGAAAGCUCGGAGCUCAACUCCGAAAUGGCAUUGGAAACUACCCUGCUAGAGGGUCGGAGGGGGGACUGGAAUACUUGGUGUAGCAGUGAAAUGCGUAGAUAUCAAGUGGAACACCAGUGGCGAAGGCGAGUCCCUGGACGACUCCUGACACUGAGGCACGAAAGCUAGGGGAGCAAACA
rnacentral:rRNA from 1 species